AUUGAACGCUGGCGGCAGGCCUAACACAUGCAAGUCGAACGAGUGGCGGACGGGUGAGUAAUGUCUGUGAAACUGCCCGAUGGAGGGGGAUAACUACUGGAAACGGUAGCUCAUACCGCAUACCAUCGGAUGUGCCCAGAUGGGAUUAGCUAGGAGGUGGGGUAACGGCUCACCUAGGCGACGAUCCCUAGCUGGUCUGAGAGGAUGACCAGUCACACUGGAACUGAGAAACGGUCCAUACUCCUACGGGAGGCAGCAGGGGGGAAUAGUGCACAAUGGGCGCAAGCCUGAUGCAGCCAUGCCGCGUGUAUGAAGAAGGCCUUCGGGUUGUAAAGUACUUUAAGCGGGGAGGCGUUACCCGCAGAAGAAGCACCGGCUAACUCCGUGCCAGCAGCCGCGGUAAUUC
rnacentral:rRNA from 1 species